rnacentral:tRNA from 1 species
AGUAGAGUCAGCUAAUCAAGCUAUCGGCCCAUACCCCGAAAAUGAUGGUUUAACCCCCUCCUCUACUA